GACGAACGCUGGCGGCGUGCCUAACACAUGCAAGUCGAACGAGGUCCAUGAGAGCUUGCUCUCGGACGACCUAGUGGCGAACGGGUGAGUAACACGUGAGAAACCUGCCUCGGAGUGGGGAAUAACUCGGGGAAACUCGAGCUAAUACCGCAUACCUUCAGAUGAUCGCAUGGUCGACUGAAGAAAGAAUUUCGCUCUGAGAGGGUCUCGCGGCCUAUCAGCUAGUUGGUGGGGUAACGGCCUACCAAGGCAACGACGGGUAGCUGGAUUGAGAGAUCGAUCAGCCACACUGGGACUGAGACACGGCCCAGACUCCUACGGGUGGCUG
rnacentral:rRNA from 1 species